rnacentral:misc_RNA from 1 species
GAUGAAGAACGUAGCGAAAUGCGAUAAGUAAUGUGAAUUGCAGAAUUCAGUGAAUCAUCGAAUCUUUGAACGCACAUUGCGCCCCGUGGUAUUCCGCGGGGCAUGCCUGUUCGAGCGUCAUUACAACCCUCAAGCUCAGCUUGGUGUUGGGCCCCGCCGCCCCGGCGGGCCCUAAAGUCAGUGGCGGUGCCGUCCGGCUCCGAGCGUAGUAAUUCUUCUCGCUCUGGAGGUCCGGUCGUGUGCUCGCCAGCAACCCCCAAUUUUUUUCAGGUUGACCUCGGAUCAGGUAGGGAUACCCGCUGAACUUAAGCAUAUCAAUAAGCGGAGGA